rnacentral:lncRNA from 1 species
GUAACCUGGCUUUAGCCAAUCCAGGGUGCGGCCCGGCCAGGAGCAAAGUAAAGCUGGUAGCCACUGCUGCCUACUAAGACACCACAUGGGCACUGCCACCACAGCUUGGGGUUGGGGGAGGGCAGACUGUUCAGAGGUCUGCAGCGCUGAGGAACCCACUUGAAGAGCACCAGUCUCCUCCCCACGCUUGCCGGUGAUGGAAGAGAGACAAAGUUGACUCACUUGAAGAAGAGAGGCAUCUACAGUUUUCAAGGACUACGGAGGAAAACCCUUCCUCUAAGCAGCUGCCCCGUCUCACUGCUGCUGAAUUCCUCCCACAGGCAGCAAUGGCUUUGAGUGUCAAUGGCCGGCCCGAGCCACACUGGCCUUGAAGAUUCCUAAGAGCUAUUUUGAGUGAUUUCACUGCUCGCGGUCCUGGCAAACUUAUCCAUUUUCAGACAAUAUUUAGAUUCUGAGGGACCGGUCUUCUUGAGAAGACAGAAAAUCCCAGCAUGGCGGCCCACAUCUGUAAUCCCAGCACUCAGGAGGC